CUCUUGGCAUUGAACUUGGGCUUCUCCUGCAUGAAUUGGGCUUUGUGGGGAGCAUUGGGUUUGUUAUUGUUAGUCAAAUUAACAGACCAUUGAUGGUUGUUAAUUUUGUUGAGAUUAUUCUUGGUAUUGUAUUAAAAGUUUUUGUUUCAAGGAACUUACGAGAAUUUGCAUCAAACAUUUUUACCUGAAUUCCUUGUGUUGAAUCGCCAUAAAUUCCUUGCACCUUUUGUCAUUCUGGUUUGGCCUUGCAUUGAUGGAUGGGACGGUUUCUUUCUCCUUGGGAAAGUUACCAUCUUCCAUUCAUCCUUUUCAUCCAGUUUAUUGCGUGCUUCAGAGCAUUCAAGUUGUUCCUAUGAAGGGGUUGGUGGUUUAGGCUUAUGUGCACAUGUUUUUAGGGUGUGCCCUAUCCUUCUACAUCUUUUACAUAAAAUUCCUUCUCCUUCAUAGAUUAUAGAUUGUUUAUGAUCACCGACAAUGAUUGAUGUUUCCAUUGGAGUUUCAAGAGGUACUUGAAUGCAAACACAUGCUCCCUCUCAAGGUAGAAGAUCACUACAAAAAAGGAGGAAAAUUGCAGAGAGUUACAUAUGGCGGUUCACCAAAACCGCCAUAAGACACCAUAUUGUGGGGCGGCUUUCAAUCCCCCAUGCCAGACAUUUGUAAAACAGCGAUUUAACUGUAUUUUACGGUGCUUUAAACCGCCACUGCUUAUAUUUUCAUUUUUAACAUAAUUUCUGGUUUAUUUCAAAUAUGCUAGACAUAUAAUACUCACAAAUAAACGAAUCCUAGAUCUAUGUAUUCUGCUUCUCCUUCCCACGAAAUCUUGCUCAAAUCUGGAUCAUUGACGCGGUGAAUCCCUCUCAUCUCCUCUCCUUUUCUAAUCUCUCAUUUCCAUCUCCUCUUCUUGCUAGGCUCGCAAAUAGUUCGCUAACCUCUAUCGUGCCAGGUACGAUUUUUUGUUGCUUGUUUCUUUUUAGAUUUUAUAUUUCUGGUGUUGUAAGGAACCAAUUUCUUAUGAUUGAAAUUUUUUAGAAGUCCUAUUGGUUUGGUUAGAACUUGUCCCUCAGUGUAGGGAUGGGAGUACCCUUAGUUGGACGUUCAAUGAUAUAAUAGCAGGGAAACGAAAAAUGUACAGAGGAUUGUAUAGUGGUUGUUACUAGUUUAGGAUCAAUGCAUAGUUGAUGAUUAAAUCAACAGUUGUGUGGUGCCGUAGUGUUUCAUGGUCAUUUAUAUCUCCUUAUGCGAGCUAUGAAAUUCUGCAUAGGCUAACCUUGCUAGCCAUUUCAGUGGAUUUUUUUGCAUAGGCUAACUUCACUAGUAUAUUCACUAAUCAAGGUUAAUACAUAGAUUCAAGGAGUAAUGUGGUUUUGCUGAUCAAUCAUGUACAUUAUCAAGCAUUCAAUUUGCAUUUCCUUAAGUCUAAGGUAAUAUUGCGAAUGCAGCUCGGUUACAGUGUACGCAUUAAGGUUACACCGUGUCUUGCAGAGGCUUCGCGAGUCUCAUUGUGUUUUCGCUCGAAGGGCACUGGAUAUGAGAAGUGGCAUCCUAUCACCUAACCACGUAAGAAGAUCACCAGAUAGAGAUAACAAUACAGAUCAUGCUUAUACUCCACUAUUGCUAGAAUUUAUUAUAGUUAUUUCCUUUUGUUAUGAUGAGUGGAUGUAAAAUGUUGCUCCUUGAAAUUUUAAUACAUUUUAUGAUGUAAUUUGGAAUUGCUUAUUCUGUUUAUAUA